UGUGAACUUUGCUGUGAAUGUUAUUUGGAACGUUAAUUCAUAGGUCGUGCAGUCCACCUCGGUGACCAUUUUCGACUAUCACAGCCCUGAUGAAAUGAUUUUAAUGAUCAAUUUUGACAAUGAUGGGGACUGAUUGCUGUACCUGUCUGGACCACUGGUGGACCAGAACUUUUCAACAUUGAUACCUUCGAGGGCAGCAUUUACGUCAUAAACAGUGAUCUUGUGAUGAACAACGGAACAACCUGAUUUGUUGUUUCGGGAGGAGGAUAUUGUUUUGGCGUUGUCAUCCCGUCCGUCUGGUACCAUAUCUUGAAAAACAAGGCCCAUCCACUGGAGUGUGUGAAUGAAGAGGAUGCCAUCUCCACCCGGAUCUCUGACUUCAUGAACCCGCAACCAGGUCAAACAUUGCCUUGACCUUUCACCAGAGUUCUAGGUAAGUCUGUGGCUAAGGAAGAGUUGAUUGUGAGCAGUUAUUUGUCAAAUUGAUAGUAUAUCAAUACCAAGUCUCAAAUCACACAGCUUAUUUUAUGUUUUACAGAAUGGUUCUAAAAAUAAAUGCUCAGAAAUUUUGUAAAAAUAUUGAAGCACAAUUCUAAAUAUCAAAAGAAAUUAAAGAUUCUAAGAAAUUUAUGAUCUUUUCUGCUGCAUGAUUAUAUUUUUAGAUAUAUAUAGACAAUGACAAAGUUUUAAGUCUUGGUCAGAGGACUAUUCCAAGUUAUGAUGUGAGUGAAAAAAACAAAAAACUUCAGUUGGAAACAUUUAGUUCAUUUAAUAAUGCCUAAUUCAUGUGUUUUUUGUGGUGCGGUUGUUCUACGGUCCACUGCUGAUGGCGGUUGAGGUGCCUUACAACAUUUCUGCUCAGUAAUUGACAUGGCAACAGUUUGACAUGUGACAGCCCAUGUACUUCACCAGCGGGCCUCUACCAAACCCCGACUCAACCAAAUGUCUGAAAAUCAUCCAUCUAGAUAUCAUAUAUUUCCAUGAGCUGCGGAUGUGAGGAGACAUUCAACCAGAACUGAUGGUCUGAGAUGUUCCCUGGAGACCUAGAUAUGUCACCCAAGUGAUCUGAUGAAUUCCAGUCCAACCCAGAGCCAAGAGGAGAAUGCUUUGCCCAAUUCCAGACAUGGAAUAUAUUCUAUCGCAGUUCAGAAGUUCUCCAAGAGCCUGUGAAAGCCACUUGUGGUCUUAACUCCUCUGCUAUUACGAUAAUCCGGCCCCUGCCCAGUUUUUCCAAUGGUACCCAGCUCUUCUACAAGACAAUUCCCGCCCUCAGUUACCCGCUUCUGAGACCGAUGAUCCUGGAAGUGGCUACACCCUCUUUCCACCAGAAGCCAUCCAAAAAAAUGUGGAUUUCACUGGGAACACAACAGUAGAGCCGGACAAACUAUGUGGAGACACACCAGUCUGCUUCCAGAGGGCCCUCACAACUACAGGGCCAGGUCACACCCAACAGCUUGACAAAACACCAGAAUAAAACAACAUGAGAUUAUAGGAAGUGGAGAAUAAUCAACUGUUGACAUUUCAAUCAUUGGCUGUAUUGUACUUGGUUAGUUGAGAAGGCACGCUCAUCACACGGAUGUACAAGUAGGAAUCGUUCAACCCUGACCUCAGAAAGGUUGUGGCCAAUGACGUUUAUACUCCCUUUGGCAAUGAAGUGCUAUGCAACGCGAACGCUGCACAUAUUCUUCGUGAUGUAAUCCAGAAAACAGAUGACAUAUGACUCGUUAUUGUGAUGAAGAACAGGUGUACCUCCAAGGUAGCCUGCCCAGACAGCCAUGUUACAGAAGGGCAGGCCAUUGUUAACCCUCACCCAUCAGAUGUGGACUUUCUGCCAGCUGUAUUGGCAUCACCACCACAAGAAACAAGUAUCAAUUUGCUGACGCCUUUAAUUCAGUGAACAAUCUACACAAACACAAUGCCUCUGUACAAGAUAACUGACGCAAGACGCAGUCAAAGAAAAUGUGUUAUUGCUGAGAGUUUGGACAGCUUUAAAACUAAAGCCGCAAAGAAGUUGGAAAUAGCUUGUGAUGUGAGCAGCCUUGUGGUUGUUUUUGAAAAUGAUGGGACCCUCAUCGACGAAGAUGAAAUCAUCCUGGAACUGGGGAAAGAAUCGUUAAUGAUUCUAACUCCAUCACAAAUAUGGACAGCAGCAAGAAAAGAUGAGAUGGAUGAACCGGCUCCCCAAAACGAAAGUACAGACAAUUACACCAUCAAUAUACAGGAGCAGAGCCAGCCA